AUGGUCCGUCGCCUCCCGCAGCGCCGCCGCGGGCGCGCCCUCCGCGUGAGGACCACAGGCGAGGCGUUCGAGGGGUACGGGCCCGUGCGGCGCGGGUUCCCGUCGUGGGUGGCUGCGGCGGACCGUAGGCGGCUGCUGCAGCAGCAGGGCGUAGUCGGCGUCCCGGACCUGGUGGUGGCCAAGGACGGGAGCGGCAACUUCACGACGGUGGGGGAGGCGCGCGGCGUCGGCGGUGCGUGCGGCCGCGUCCAACUGCACGUCCUACCUGGCGCGCCCGCACCGCCUGCAGCUGCGCGACCGCCUCGCGCUGUCCGACUGCCUGGAGCUGUUCGGGCACACGCUGAACCAGCUCGGCAUGGCGGCGGCCGAGCUCUCGGCCGGGAACCGCAGCGUGGAGGACUCCAUCGCGGGCGUUACCCAAUUCUCUCGCACACUCCUCCACAUCCAUCAAAUGAUUAG
rnacentral:rRNA from 1 species